rnacentral:rRNA from 1 species
UACGAAGGGGGCUAGCGUUGCUCGGAAUCACUGGGCGUAAAGCGCACGUAGGCGGCUUUUUAAGUCAGGGGUGAAAUCCUGGAGCUCGACUCCAGAACUGCCUUUGAUACUGAGAAGCUUGAGUCCGGGAGAGGUGAGUGGAACUGCGAGUGUAGAGGUGAAAUUCGUAGAUAUUCGCAAGAACACCAGUGGCGAAGGCGGCCUUCUGGACAGUGACUGACGCUGAGACGCGAAAGCGUGGGGAGCAAACAGG